AUUCCGGCAUUGGGAGGCAUUGCCUGCCAGUGACAACUGUUUAACGGCCGCGGUAUCCUGACCGUGCAAAGGUAGCAUAAUCAUUUGUUCUCUAAAUAAGGACUUGUAUGAAUGGCCGCACGAGGGUUUUACUGUCUCUUACUUCCAAUCAGUGAAAUUGACCUUCCCGUGAAGAGGCGGGAAUGCACAAAUAAGACGAGAAGACCCUAUGGAGCUUUAACUAACCAACCCAAAGAGAAUAGAUUUAACCAUUAAGGAAUAACAACAAUCUCCAUGAGUUGGUAGUUUCGGUUGGGGUGACCUCGGAGAAUAAAAAAUCCUCCGAGCGAUUUUAAAGACUAGACCCACAAGUCAAAUCACUCUAUCGCUCAUUGAUCCAAAAACUUGAUCAACGGAACAAGUUACCCUAGGGAUAACAGCGCAAUCCUAUUCAAGAGUCCAUAUCGACAAUAGGGUUUACGACCUCGAUGUUGGAUCAGGACAUCCUGAUGGUGCAACCGCUAUCAAAGGUUCGUUUGUUCAACGAUUAAAGUCCUACGUGAUCUGAGUUCAGACCGGA
rnacentral:rRNA from 1 species